GACGAACGCCGGCGGCGUGCCUAAUACAUGCAAGUCGAGCGAAGUUUUUCUGGUGCUUGCACUAGAAAAACUUAGCGGCGAACGGGUGAGUAACACGUAAAGAACCUGCCUCAUAGACUGGGACAACUAUUGGAAACGAUAGCUAAUACCGGAUAACAGUAUUUCUCGCAUGAGAGAUAUUUAAAAGUUGGUUAUGCUAACACUAUGAGAUGGCUUUGCGGUGCAUUAGCUAGUUGGUGGGGUAAAGGCCCACCAAGGCGACGAUGCAUAGCCGACCUGAGAGGGUGAUCGGCCACACUGGGACUGAGACACGGCCCAGACUCCUACGGGAGGCAGCAGUAGGGAAUCUUCCGCAAUGGGCGAAAGCCUGACGGAGCAACGCCGCGUGAGUGAAGAAGGAUUUCGGUUCGUAAAGCUCUGUUGUUAGGGAAGAAUGGAUAUGUAGUAACUAUACAUGUAAGAGACGGUACCUAACCAGAAAGCCACGGCUAACUACGCG
rnacentral:rRNA from 1 species